rnacentral:tRNA from 1 species
GAGUAAGAAGUGAAAUAUCACAAUCAGUUUCGACCUGAUCAAAUGGGUAAGCCCCUUACUCU